CGCGCGAUACAGGGUGACAGCCCCGUACACAAAAGCGCAUGUGCUGUGAGCUCGAUGAGUAGGGCGGGACACGUGGUAUCCUGUCUGAAUAUGGGGGGACCAUCCUCCAAGGCUAAAUACUCCUGACUGACCGAUAGUGAACCAGUACCGUGAGGGAAAGGCGAAAAGAACCCCGGCGAGGGGAGUGAAAAAGAACCUGAAACCGUGUACGUACAAGCAGUGGGAGCACAGGUUUACCUGUGUGACUGCGUACCUUUUGUAUAAUGGGUCAGCGACUUAUAUUCUGUAGCAAGGUUAACCGCAUAGGGGAGCCGGAGGGAAACCGAGUCUUAAUUGGGCGUUAAGUUGCAGGGUAUAGACCCGAAACCCGGUGAUCUAGCCAUGGGCAGGUUGAAGGUUGGGUAACACUAACUGGAGGACCGAACCGACUAAUGUUGAAAAAUUAGCGGAUGACCUGUGGCUGGGGGUGAAAGGCCAAUCAAACCGGGAGAUAGCUGGUUCUCCCCGAAAGCUAUUUAGGUAGCGCCUCGUGAAUUCAUCUCCGGGGGUAGAGCACUGUUUCGGCUAGGGGGCCAUCCCGGCUUACCAACCCGAUGCAAACUGCGAAUACCGGAGAAUGUUAUCACGGGAGACACACGGCGGGUGCUAACGUCCGUCGUGAAGAGGGAAACAACCCAGACCGCCAGCUAAGGUCCCAAAGUCAUGGUUAAGUGGGAAACGAUGUGGGAAGGCCCAGACAGCCAGGAUGUUGGCUUAGAAGCAGCCAUCAUUUAAAGAAAGCGUAAUAGCUCACUGGUCGAGUCGGCCUGCGCGGAAGAUGUAACGGGGCUAAACCAUGCACCGAAGCUGCGGCAGCGAACGUAUCACUUAAAGCGAUUCAGCGGGUUACGAUUGACGGAGCGAAGCGACGUCAAAGCGUAUACAAAGUCGAGUCGGUUUAAGGAUACGUUCGUUGGGUAGGGGAGCGUUCUGUAAGCCUGCGAAGGUGGCCUGUGAGGGUUGCUGGAGGUAUCAGAAGUGCGAAUGCUGACAUAAGUAACGAUAAAGCGGGUGAAAAGCCCGCUCGCCGGAAGACCAAGGGUUCCUGUCCAACGUUAAUCGGGGCAGGGUGAGUCGACCCCUAAGGCGAGGCCGAAAGGCGUAGUCGAUGGGAAACGGGUUAAUAUUCCCGUACUUGGUGUUACUGCGAAGGGGGGACGGAGAAGGCUAUGUUGGCCGGGCGACGGUUGUCCCGGUUUAAGCGUGUAGGUGUGUGUUCCAGGUAAAUCCGGUU
rnacentral:rRNA from 1 species